GUGCAGCAGGCGCGAAACCUCCGCAAUACACGAAAGUGUGACGGGGCCAUCCCGAGUGCCGUCCGCUGAGGACGGCUUUUUCCCCAGUGUACACAGCUGGGGGAAUAAGGAGAGGGCAAGCCUGGUGUCAGCCGCCGCGGUAAUACCAGCUCUCCGAGUGGUGGGGACGCUUAUUGGGCCUAAAGCAUCCGUAGCCGGCUGGGCAAGUCCUCCGUUAAAUCCAACGAUUCAAUCGUUGGGCUGCGGGGGAUACUGUCCAGCUUGGGGGCGGAGAGGCCGACGGUAUUCCCGGGGUAGGGUGAAAUCCUAUAAUCCCGGGAGGACCACCAGUGGCGAAGGCUGUCGGCUAGAACGCGCCCGACGGUGAGGGGAUGAAAGCUGGGGGAGCGAACC
rnacentral:rRNA from 1 species